GACGAACGCUGGCGGCGUGCUUAACACAUGCAAGUCGAACGGAAAGGCCUCUUUCGGGGGGUACUCGAGUGGCGAACGGGUGAGUAACACGUGAGUAACCUGCCCUUGACUUUGGGAUAACUUCAGGAAACUGGGGCUAAUACCGGAUAGGAGCUCCUGCUGCAUGGUGGGGGUUGGAAAGUUUCGGCGGUUGGGGAUGGACUCGCGGCUUAUCAGCUUGUUGGGGGGGUAGUGGCUUACCAAGGCUUUGACGGGUAGCCGGCCUGAGAGGGUGACCGGCCACAUUGGGACUGAGAUACGGCCCAGACUCCUACGGGAGGCAGCAGUGGGGAAUAUUGCACAAUGGGUGGAAGCCUGAUGCAGCAACGCCGGGUGCGGGAUGACGGCCUUCGGGUUGUAAACCGCUUUCGCUCAUGACGAAGCUUUGUGUGACGGUAGUGGGUAAAGAAGCACCGGCUAACUACGUG
rnacentral:rRNA from 1 species